GAGAAGACCAGGACGUUGGUCUUGCUAUAGCAUCACUUUUCCUUUCAUAUGAAUCCUUGGUGAGUGCUCUUCUAGUGAGAAAGAGCACCAUCAAGAUGGAUGAGGUCAUCAUGGUGAUUCUCCAGGGUGAGAUUCUCAAGAGAGAAAAUCCAGCUUCGAGCUCAGACGGUAGUAGCUCAGCUUUAGUGAUUUCUGAAGGAAUAGAUAGCAACAGACAGAGUGACAGAGGAUUGUAAGGAGGAUGAUCUAAGUUCAAGAUAAAGAACCCCAGCA
rnacentral:lncRNA from 1 species